UACGGCCACAUAGCAUUGAAACACUGGUUCUCAUAUGAUCACCGAGGUUAAGCAACAUCAAGUCUGGUCAGUAGCGAGAUGAGUGACUGCUUGAGAAUACCAUGUUCUGUAAG